rnacentral:rRNA from 1 species
UACGUAGGGUGCAAGCGUUAAUCGGAAUUACUGGGCGUAAAGCGUGCGCAGGCGGUUCUAUAAGACAGAUGUGAAAUCCCCCGGGGCUCAACCUGGGAACUGCAUUUGUGACUGUAGAGCUGGAGUACGGCAGAGGGGGAUGGAAUUCCGCGUGUAGCAGUGAAAUGCGUAGAUAUGCGGAGGAACACCGAUGGCGAAGGCAAUCCCCUGGGCCUGUAUUGACGCUCAUGCACGAAAGCGUGGGGAGCAAACAGG